rnacentral:rRNA from 1 species
GGGACACGUGGUAUCCUGUCUGAAUAUGGGGGGACCAUCCUCCAAGGCUAAAUACUCCUGACUGACCGAUAGUGAACCAGUACCGUGAGGGAAAGGCGAAAAGAACCCCGGCGAGGGGAGUGAAAAAGAACCUGAAACCGUGUACGUACAAGCAGUGGGAGCACGCUUAGGCGUGUGACUGCGUACCUUUUGUAUAAUGGGUCAGCGACUUAUAUUCUGUAGCAAGGUUAACCGAAUAGGGGAGCCGAAGGGAAACCGAGUCUUAACUGGGCGUUAAGUUGCAGGGUAUAGACCCGAAACCCGGUGAUCUAGCCAUGGGCAGGUUGAAGGUUGGGUAACACUAACUGGAGGACCGAACCGACUAAUGUUGAAAAAUUAGCGGAUGACUUGUGGCUGGGGGUGAAAGGCCAAUCAAACCGGGAGAUAGCUGGUUCUCCCCGAAAGCUAUUUAGGUAGCGCCUCGUGAAUUCAUCUCCGGGGGUAGAGCACUGUUUCGGCAAGGGGGUCAUCCCGACUUACCAACCCGAUGCAAACUGCGAAUACCGGAGAAUGUUAUCACGGGAGACACACGGCGGGUGCUAACGUCCGUCGUGAAGAGGGAAACAACCCAGACCGCCAGCUAAGGUCCCAAAGUCAUGGUUAAGUGGGAAACGAUGUGGGAAGGCCCAGACAGCCAGGAUGUUGGCUUAGAAGCAGCCAUCAUUUAAAGA